CUCUGCAACUCUAACAUGGUUGCCCACUGAAGCUAAGCAGGGUUGUGCCCUAUCCGUACCUGAAUGGGAGACCACAUGGGAAAGCUAGGUUGUUGCCGGAA
rfam:Danio rerio chromosome 3 genomic contig CTG263, GRCz11 reference primary assembly.